rnacentral:rRNA from 1 species
CCUACGGGAGGCAGCAGUUAGGAAUAUUGGACAAUGGGCGAAAGCCUGAUCCAGCCAUGCCGCGUGUGUGAUGAAGGCCCUAGGGUUGUAAAGCACUUUCGUUGGGGAUGUUAAUGACCGUACCCAAAGAAGAAGCACCGGCUAACUUCGUGCCAGCAGCCGCGGUAAUACGAAGGGUGCAAGCGUUGUUCGGAAUCACUGGGCGUAAAGAAUGCGUAGGCGGCUUAACAAGUCGGGAGUGAAAUCCCAGGGCUCAACCCUGGAACUGCUCUCGAAACUGUUUUGCUAGAGUCCCGGAGGGGUUUAGCGGAAUUCCGAGUGUAGAGGUGAAAUUCGCAGAUAUUCGGAGGAACACCAGUGGCGAAGGCGGCUAACUGGACGGGAACUGACGCUGAGGCAUGAAAGUGUGGGGAUCAAACAGGAUUAGAUACCCUGGUAGUCCACACCGUAAACGAUGUGUGCUAGUUGUCGGUCGAGCUUGUCGUGUUCGGUUGGUACGGAGGACGUAACGUUUAACGUACACACCGCCGUCGGUAACGGUACGGCCGGCCGAACGGUUAAAACGUUAAACGUAAGUAGUACGACGUGAGAGACGCGACGACGACGACGACGGAGGAGAG